ensembl:lncRNA
CUACAUUUCUCAUCGAAGGAGGGACAUUUUCAUUUCUCCUUUUGUAGGCCAAUACACCUAUUGUAGGUCUCGUUUCACUUAAGGCUGGUUCACACGGCAGGAUAAUUAGGCCGAUUUUAGUCCCGAUUCACCCCUUCCGACAAUCUUAGGAUGCUCCGAUUAUCGUAAAAUAAUCUGAUCAAAUAUUCCUGCCGUGUGUGGUGUGUUAAGACUGCUCUCCUCUGCUCGGAAGGACAUCGGGACCGCUCCGAUCUCAAAUCGGGGAUAUCCAACCUGUUGGAUUUAUUUGGCCCGAUUUCUUCUCGUGUGUGGUGUCCCCCGAGGACAAACGAUCACGCAGCCUGUGGACUGUGGCGUGUAGCCAAUCAGAAAGCGAGGUGACGAGGCGGUGAGGAAGUACCGGGAAACAAAAUCAAAACAGCCGGCGGCAUGGCGCACCAGAAAGUCCGGUGGACGUCGGAGAUGGAGGACCAACUCAAUAUAACAAUACAAAUAAAGUCGAUGGGCAUAACUACAUCCACAACUGCAGUCCACCAGAGUACAUGGAAACGAAUAUAUGAACGUUUAUUUCAAUGGUUAUUAAUCUGUGUAGUACGUAACAACAUUUCUAUGUGAUAAAACAACAACUUACCUCCAUAUCAUGAUGUAGCAAGUAUAGUCCAUGCUCGCGUUGUCUCCACCUCUUUGACCAUCGCCUUUUCUUGUUUUUCUUAUGUUUUUUUUCAGUUAAAAACAAAGCACAAACUAUGGCCACUGCAUCCUCUUCGUCCGCCAUGAUUGUUUACUCUGAAGUCACGUUUGAUCUCGAGGGAUUUUGCGAGAUUUCCCGUCUGACAUGGGAAUGCUCGGGAGUCAAAUCGGUUCAUGUGUGAUGUGUUGAUUUUGCCGUGUGGCUGCACACCACACACUGUACGACCAAAACUGUUAGACCCGUGAUUUUUUAUCGCCGUGUGUGGGGUCUCUCAGGUUUGGAAAAUCGGCUGACAAUUUUAAAAUCGUCCCGUGUGAACCAGGCCUUAAUCACUUCACACACUUAAUCACUAACCCUGUUUUUUGUCCGGGCUUCACCUGCACCCCACACUUUCUUAGACACAAA